ACGGGACUACUUACAGAGUUUACAACUCCCAAACCCAAAUGUGAACAUACCAAUCGUUGCUUCGGCGGACUCGUCCCGGCGUCCGGGUGGCCUUGCGCCGCCCGCGGCCCGGAUCCAGGCGGCCGCCGGAGGCCAUCAAACUCUUUGUAUUACCAGUAUCGUCUGAAUCCGCCGCAAGGCAAAACAAAUGAAUCAAAACUUUCAACAACGGAUCUCUUGGUUCUGGCAUCGAUGAAGAACGCAGCGAAAUGCGAUAAGUAAUGUGAAUUGCAGAAUUCAGUGAAUCAUCGAAUCUUUGAACGCACAUUGCGCCCGCCAGCAUUCUGGCGGGCAUGCCUGUUCGAGCGUCAUUUCAACCCUCGAGCUCCCCUUGGGGAGCCCGGCGUUGGGGACCGGCCUCUACCGCCGCCCCCGAAAUACAGUGGCGGCCCCGUCACGGCGACCUCUGCGUAGUAACUCAACCUCGCACCGGAAACCCGACGCGGCCACGCCGUAAAACAACCCACUUCUGAACGUUGACCUCGGAUCAAGGUAGGAAUACCCGCUGAACUUAAGCAUAUC
rnacentral:rRNA from 1 species